rnacentral:lncRNA from 12 species
AUGCAGGGUACUGUGGAAACACAGAAAGUGUGCCUACCGGAUGAAGAGACCCACGCAAGGACUCUUAGAGAAACAUUGUCUAAUCAGGUGAGAAGUAAUAGACCACUAAUACUUACCAAGUGGUUACUAGAGCCCAGGCAUGGUUCUGGCUCCCACUCAUUGAAUCUUGGUAAUAACGUCAAAAUGGAGAUACUGUUACUAACAUCACCACUGUCAUCAUCAUCAUUAUCAUUGUCAUCAUCACCAUCAAGGUUCAGGAAGGUGAUGGACUGGGAAACCGGGAGCCAGGAUUCCAGUGCAGGGUUCCACAGACUUCAAACAGCUCCGCGUUGCAGGAACUACGCGGGGAGGCGGCUCUGGAGAACGCUGGGCUGCGGGAAAUGCUUCCGUUUCCUCCGCGUGCGAUCCCCGAUCCCCGAUCCCCGAUCCCCGCAGCCUUUGUCGCCGCUGAUACUCAUUCGGGAAACUUAAAACACCAGCGGUCACCCCAGCCUUCCUCCCUCCCGGCUCCGGCUCCGUGUCACGGCGGCAGCAGGAGGGAAAGGAGCUGUUGUUCUUUCGGAUGGGUUGAUCCCAGUGUUAUCUAGAUGAGCCUAAAGGAAAAAAUACCAGUGACGUUUUAUAUAGAUUUUAGACUUUCCCAUUCUACUGUCAAUGUUAUUUUAUCUGUUUCAGUCCCAGAGGGUGACUGAUUAGGUUUAGUUAUAUAAAUCGAAUCUUUGAUGCCUUCACAUCUUUUUUGAAAGAGAGGUGCUGUCGUAGCUGGAUAGGGAACAAUCUGGUUGACAAUCCUGCCAUUAAGUUACUGAACAUUAAGACACUUUGUUGAGGUGUAUUCUAUACUAAAAAUAGAAGGAUCACACUGCCUCAAUUAUACACACCCAGUCGUCUCAACUGCCGUUGAAUAACCCUGAUGGCUGUUUCCUGGAGAAGGAAGAGAGAGGAUAAAUAGCUCCUCUUUUAGUUACCAGAAAAAUUUUUCAUCAUUCGAAAAAAAGAGUCCAUGCUUGUGUUUUGCAAAUUACAGAGCAUAGACAUCAUCCUGCUCAGGUAAAGUUCCCUAAGACAGUUCAGUGUAAACAUUAAUUUGUCAAAAUACGCUGAAAAGUUGGAAACAGGUUGGGAGAGAAGCAUUUGCCGUGGCUGAUGAUGAUGAUGUGCCGGGCGUUCCGAGCAGUCCUGCGGGAGUCGGGAGCCAGGGCCAUGGGAGGCUGCGAGACGUGGCCUCCUUGUUUCUCUCCUUCUUCUGUUUUUCUUUUUUUUCUUUUUUAAGAUAUUAUUUAUUUAUUCAUGAGAGACACAGAGAGAGAGAGAGGCAGAGACACAGGCUGAGGGAGAAGCAGGCCCCAUGCAGGGAGCCCGAUGCAGGACUCGAUCCUGGGUCUCCAGAGUCAGGCCCUGGGCCAAAAGCAGAGGUGCAUAACUGUAGAACCAUCAAGGCGUCCCUUGUUUCUCCUUUUUCUUCUUUUAUGUCCUAGUUCAUUUAUCCCCAUCAAGGUCUUUCAGGUGCCUUCACUGCCAGCCUUUUUAAUAUAAUAAGUAAUUUAUUGGGAUGAACAGGAAAUUCGAUUCCAAACAGCCAAGUGAGGUGGACCACACAGCCCAGCGCCUGAGAUGGACCAGGCCCUGCGCAACCCCGAGGAACGACAGGGACGUCUAGGAGACAGAUUGCUCGCAAGAAAGGAGAAAUCCCCUGGGAAGAUGGGAUACUAUUUGGUCAUGUUGUGAGGAAUGACCAGGUCUGCUCUAGAUUUAAAUCUCCUCUGGCCGAGUGCUUAAAUUUGUGGGGCUUUCUAUGAUAAAAGCACGACACGGCUUUCCUUGAGUCCUCUACGUCUUGAUCUUCCUGCGUUCUGACUUUGCUCUUUCAAACUCAGGCCUUCUUUUCGCCCUAAUCUUCCUGUGACAGCAGCUUGUAAAUUUCAGGCUCUUUCCAUUCCCAUUUGCCACCCACCCUGCCGUCAACACCUCACUCGCUGAUCCUUGGGUUUCCAGAUCUGACCCGGCAUAACCUUGAGGCAGGCUUCCCUGAUUGACAGCAGUUGCAUUUAUAGUAUUGUUUUCUCGGAGACAGGAAAAGACCAGAAGAUUUGCAGUGGCAACUGCCAAGGAAUUUUAUGUAAAGAAUUGUGGGUUAUAGGAGCUUUUCUGACUUGAACAGAAACCAAAAUUCAGGUCAUUCCUAAUACAUAUAAGCCACACAGCAUUCUGUGACCUUUCUGAGGUUUAUUUUUUAUUUUUUUAUUUUUUUGGUUUGGUUUUGUUGUUUUCCCCUUCUCUUCCCAUCUGGUAUGGUGGGCCAUAAGAAAGAGGUUGUGGAGGUAGAAGCAGUCUGAAUUCCCUUCCCUGACUUCUCCCCUCCCCUCCAAACUUGACGCAGUCUUCUCCUUGCUUUUCCCUCUCAUCUUGCCAAAAUCCUCCUUUUGUCCUAGUUUUCUUUUACCAUCUUUCACCUCUGUCCAUGACUGAAAGGCAGAGGGACAAGGUGAGAACUAGAUGGUGUGAUUAGACUGCGAGGGGACUCUAUUCAAGGUCCUGCACGCAUACGCAUGUACCAUAACUUGCGAGGCUUAAAUCACAAUUUCAUGCAAGGGGGGAAAAGAAGUUACCUCUUUCUGGCGUUUCAACCUGGAACAAAAGUCCCUGAAAUACAACCUUUUCAAACUCAAUUUGUUAUCAUUCACAUUACCGGCCAUAUCAGUAAUGUUGAAACAUGACUAAAUAUUACAACUGAUCCCAAGAGUUUUCAAAUACCCUGUUGACAGAACACUGCUGGCCCUUCUGGCCUUCUGGUAAUGCAAAGAACAGAGCCUACAUCUGGGUAUACGCAAAUAUUUUAGGUCAUUCUCUUUGAAAAUAAACAUUUGACCAACAGCUCUAAUUCGGAUUGC